ACCAAGAUGGGUGUGAGAGUGAGCAGCCGGGGUGGGUAAAGUAGUGGUUUUACAAGAAGUGUAAGCCAAAGUAUCUGACAUUGAGUGACCUGGAUGGAAAUCACGAGGGUAACACAUUUCUUCAGAGGAGGGACAUAAAUAGAACUGAAGUUAUGUCAUAUAAAGUGAGAUCUGUUUAUUGUGGGAUCUUGGCUUGAGUUCCAAGUUAGUAACAGGCAAGCUUUCACUUCCUCGCACAGCCCUUCACAGAGUGAAUUUGACAUGGAAAAAUAAAUGUAGCCAAAUUAAAUACAAGUAGAUGGAGAUUAUCAGUGAUUGUCACCUGAGUCUUGAAACAUCCAAUCCCCCUGAAGAGCUAAACGCCACCAGAGGCACAUAUAAAUCCUGGUGGCUUGCUUCUGGGCACCUUUGGAGAAAUUUGACUGAUAUUCCUUUCCAUAGCUUUCUUUCUAAGUAAAAAUAAACCUCAUGCAGGGGCAUGAAUGCAAAGGCUGAUCCAGUCCUGGGGCUUACUUCUUUGCAGGGUCAAAAGGAGUUUUGGAGAGAGGACCUUAUCCUGCCUGGCUGUGACUGUGAAUACAGAGAUAAGGAAUGGAGAUUCUGCCAAAUAAAUGAACGUGCAGUCCGAGAGUGUGAAGAAUGUGGUUCAACUGGUGGUGGAAAAGGAUAACAAGAGGGUUCCUAUGACACCUAAAAGACGUCUUCCCAAAGUAUGUACAACUAUACAAAUAAAAAAAUAGUUGCCCUGA